UAUAAGUUAAUACCUUAUAACCCUGAUGUUACCUGCAGAAUAAGCACCGGCUAAUUCCGUGCCAGCAGCCGCGGUAAUACGGAAGGUGCAAGCGUUAAUCGGAAUUACUGGGCGUAAAGCGCGCGUAGGUGGUUUGUUAAGUUGGAUGUGAAAGCCCUGGGCUCAACCUAGGAACUGCAUCCAAAACUAACUCACUAGAGUACGAUAGAGGGAGGUAGAAUUCAUAGUGUAGCGGUGGAAUGCGUAGAUAUUAUGAAGAAUACCAGUGGCGAAGGCGGCCUCCUGGAUCUGUACUGACACUGAGGUGCGAAAGCGUGGGUAGCGAACAGGAUUAGAUACCCUGGUAGUCCACGCCGUAAACGAUGACAACUAGCUGUUGGAAGACAAUGUCUUUCAGUGGCGCAGCUAACGUUUUAAGUUGUCCGCCUGGGGAGUACGGCCGCAAGGCUAAAACUCAAAUGAAUUGACGGGGACCCGCACAAGCGGUGGAGCAUGUGGUUUAAUUCGAUGCAACGCGAAAAACCUUACCUACUCUUGACAUACUUGGAAGCUCUUGUAAUGAGAGCGUGCCUUUUGGAACCAAGAUACAGGUGCUGCAUGGCUGUCGUCAGCUCGUGUCGUGAGAUGUUCCGUUAAGUCGGAUAACGAGCGCAACCCUUACCCUUAUUUGCCAGCGAUUCGGUCGGGAACUAUAAGGGGACUGCCGGUGAUAAACCGGAGGAAGGUGAGGACGACGUCAAGUCAUCAUGGCCCUUACGAGUAGGGCUACACACGUGCUACAAUGGGGAAUACAGACGGACGCUAAGCCGCGAGGUGGUGCUAAUCCUAAAAAGUUUCUCGUAGUCCGGAUUGGAGUCUGCAACUCGACUCCAUGAAGUCGGAAUCGCUAGUAAUCG
rnacentral:rRNA from 1 species